rnacentral:lncRNA from 1 species
UUUUUUUUUCAUCUUUUUAUUACCCAGACUUCAAGGAGAUGGCCAAUACCCUUUACAUGGUGCUCUGUAGACAGUGGAAGGACCAUGUUUAAAGAAUGAAAGGGGAAAUCCUACAAUGUUUAUCAGCAGUAGAAUGGACACAUAAACUGGGGUGAAGGCAGACAAUGGAGCACCCCACUGUGGUGAGAAGGAACAAUCUGACCACACAGCAUACGUGGAUGAAUCACACAAACACAAUGUCGAGUAAAAGGAACGAGACAGAAAGGAGCAUGUCCU